UCCGCAGGGCCAGUUCCGUGCAACAGGUAGCCCUUCUUUGCCGGGCGCCGGCCCUGAGGGCCAGUCCUUAGUUCCUUCCACCGUCUCGCGGAUCCCCGCUCUGCAGCCAGUUCCCUUUCCUGCUUUUUUCCGCUUCUCCGGGUGGCCGCCCCUCGGCUUCUCUGGGAGUCUCUGUGGAAUACUCGUGUGAGGGGCCUUGCUCCGCGUACCGUGCCCGCCUCCUCGCGUGGGUGGGACAGACGGGCACUGCUGGCGGCGGACCGAGGGGGUGUCCCCAGGAAGCAGCGAGGCGGGAGGUGUCUCAUCAGCUGGGAGGAAGGUCCCCUCUCGCGCCCCUUCUCCACCCCUCUUUCUGAUUAGCAAGACACCUACAAAAGGAGGCCCAAGCUCAACAUAAUAAUUCUGAAUUCACAGAAGAACAAAAGAAAACCAUAGGCAAAAUUGCAACAUGCUUGGAAUUACGAAGUGCAGCUUUACAGUCCACACAGUCCCAAGAAGAAUUUAAACUGGAGGAUCUGAAGAAGCUAGAACCAAUCCUAAAGAACAUUCUUACAUAUAACAAAGAAUUCCCAUUUGAUGUUCAGCCUGUCCCCUUGAGAAGAAUUUUAGCACCAGGUGAAGAAGAGAAUUUGGAAAUUGAAGACGACGAAGACGAGGGUGGUGCCGGAGCGGGGGCUCCGGAUUCCUUUCCUGCUAGAGUUCCUGGUACCUUAUUACCAAGGUUGCCGUCUGAACCAGGAAUGACCUUACUCACUAUCAGAAUUGAGAAAAUUGGCCUGAAAGAUGCCGGGCAGUGCAUUGAUCCCUAUAUCACAGUUAGUGUGAAAGAUCUGAAUGGCAUAGAUUUAACUCCUGUGCAGGACACUCCUGUGGCUUCGAGAAAAGAAGAUACAUACGUUCAUUUCAAUGUGGACAUUGAGCUCCAGAAGCAUGUUGAAAAAUUAACCAAAGGUGCAGCUAUUUUCUUUGAAUUCAAACACUACAAGCCUAAAAAAAGGUUUACCAGCACCAAGUGUUUUGCUUUUAUGGAGAUGGAUGAAAUCAGACCUGGGCCCAUCGUCAUAGAACUAUACAAGAAACCCACUGACUUUAAAAGAAAGAAACUGCAGUUAUUGACCAAGAAACCACUUUAUCUUCAUCUACAUCAGACUUUGCACAAGGAAUGAUCCUGACAUGAGUGACCUGGACGUCUGUGAAUCUCCCCCUCAGUUGAGACUGUCACAGCUCUGUGUAGCAUAGUCACCCUUCAGCAGGCAGGACGCAGGCCGCACCCGGCAGCGAACGCACGCCGGCGGUCCGUCACUCGGCUGCACCUCGGACCUCCAGCCCGGCCCUUCACUGACCUGGAAGACUCCCUUGGACACAGGCUUAGCGUAGAUCUCGAAAUGUUUUCCCUUUUCUAUUAUUGUGCAAUUAACAGUCUCCUUUCUCAUUUACCACUCCUCCUGCCCUGCUUCCUGGAACACUGUUGCGGGUGGGAUGUGCUCACCUUCAGACUUAAUACAGCAAUAAGAAUGUGCUAGAGUUUACACACCUGUUCACUUCUGCUCUGAUAUGCUCUUUGGUUUUUCAAGUUAAUGUCACACUCUGGGUAGACGUGGGUAGCACAGUAUGAAACUGCUUGAACUGGACCUCUUCAUGCUGCCCCAGGCUGCUCCUCACAGACGCCUGGGUUCACCGGAUCUCGUGUGUUCCUGCCUAGAAACAGCGUGCCUUGGCCAAGUCAGUGUCCCAGGUGGGAGUGUUCCCAGGUUGUAGCUGUGAUUUUUCCAGACCCGAUCGUUUUUCUGGAAGUGAGCAUAUUUUUAGUCUUGUUGAUUAGUUUUCUCCUACACCAUCUGGUUCCUCUUCCUGAGAGUCAUUCUAGGGUUAAUGAUGGUGGAACCAUCUCAGAAUCAUUACAGACUUUGGAUGGGUUUAUAAUGUCUUCUAAAUUACAUAAUCUAAAAAUAAUCUGAGUCAGACGCUAACAAGUUACUGCAGGAAUCACUGCUGUUUUUCUGACAACUGAUUGUGAAACUGUAAAACCUGCAUCCUCUUCUUGUAGUGAUGAGGAUGCAGGUCUGGAGAUACGCUAUUUUUUUUUAUAUAGGUAGAUAGGAUUGCCAUUUAUUUCCUAUUUAGAUAUAUUGACAUUCAUCCAUAUGGAAAUAUGCAGGUCAUUAGCUUAUUGUAAUUUGACUAUUUACGUUCUUUUGCCUUCAAAAUGGGGCGUGAGUAAAACUUGGGUAGUACACACAGGUGGCUGUUUGAUACAUGGGGCAUUAAGAGUUGGGGUGGGCUCUCUUGCUUCUUGUGGGUCAGGUGGGGAGCCCACGCCUUUCACGUCACCAUUUACGUGACCAAGGCCGACACAAGGAGGGCACAGGGCCAGUGCUUGGCCCAUUUUUAAGCCAGUGUAACAAGCCUCACCGUGCCGUUCCGUCUGUUUGCUUUUUAAAAUAAGUCACCACAGUUAGAUUCCAGCCCUUGCACUUCGAGAGAUCUAGUCUCCACUUUCAGUUGUCUGUUAGGUCAAUUCUGUUUACUACGAUGGACGUUGAAAACCAUUUGAGCCUGAAGAAUUCUCGGCCAAAAUCAGUCUUGCCUCUCAUCUUGAUUAGAUUAGUUCCCAGAUGAUUCCGCCCACAGUAGCUUGAGGGGAUGAAGCAUUUGCCUUAAUGAUGACUUUGUGGUUCACUCAGCUCUGAGACUGUGAGUCGUCAGCCCCCUUCCCCCCAGACUGUAAGCUCCUCAAGGGCAAGAAGCACAUUUUCUCCGUGUGUCGAGGGGCCUGCCAGCACUCUGUACCCUGUGCAGUACUCGCUACCUUUGGUCUGAUGUUGCUGACGAGACCUAAAAAAUAAUCCCUUAAAAAUCCUACCAUUAAAAUGUAGCAAAACUGA